rnacentral:rRNA from 1 species
GAUGAACGCUGGCGGCGUGCCUAAUACAUGCAAGUCGAGCGAACGGACGAGAAGCUUGCUUCUCUGAUGUUAGCGGCGGACGGGUGAGUCACACGUGGAUAACCUACCUCUCAGACUGGGAUAACUUCGGGAAACCGUAGCUAAUACCGGAUAAUCUUUUGAACCGCAUGGUUCAAAAGUGAAUGAGGGUCUUGCUGUCACUUAUAGAUGGAUCCGCGCUGCAUUAGCUAGUUGGUACGGUAACGGCUUACCAAGGCAACGAUGCAUAGCCGACCUGAGAGGGUGAUCGGCCACACUGGAACGGAGACACGGUCCAGACUCCUACGGGAGGCAGCAGUAGGGAAUCUUCCGCAAUGGGCGAAAGCCUGACGGAGCAACGCCGCGUGAGUGAUGAAGGUCUUCGGAUCGUAAAACUCUGUUAUUAGGGAAGAACAUAUGUGUAAGUAACUGUGCACAUCUUGACGGUACCUAAUCAGAAAGCCACGGCUAACUACGUG